rnacentral:rRNA from 1 species
UAGUCCACGCCGUAAACGAUGUCUACUAGCCGUUGGAGGACUUGAUCCUUUAGCGGCGCAGCUAACGCGAUAAGUAGACCGCCUGGGGAGUACGGUCGCAAGAUUAAAACUCAAAUGAAUUGACGGGGGCCCGCACAAGCGGUGGAGCAUGUGGUUUAAUUCGAAGCAACGCGAAGAACCUUACCUACUCUUGACAUCCAGUGAACUUAGCAGAGAUGCUUUGGUGCCUUCGGGAACACUGAGACAGGUGCUGCAUGGCUGUCGUCAGCUCGUGUUGUGAAAUGUUGGGUUAAGUCCCGUAACGAGCGCAACCCUUGUCCUUAGUUACCAUCAUUUAGUUGGGGACUCUAAGGAGACUGCCGGUGACAAACCGGAGGAAGGCGGGGACGACGUCAAGUCAUCAUGGCCCUUACGAGUAGGGCUACACACGUGCUACAAUGGCAUGUACAAAGGGUUGCCAAACCGCGAGGUGGAGCUAAUCCCAUAAAGCAUGUCGUAGUCCGGA